rnacentral:rRNA from 1 species
UACGAAGGGGGCUAGCGUUGCUCGGAAUCACUGGGCGUAAAGGGUGCGUAGGCGGGUCUUUAAGUCAGGGGUGAAAUCCUGGAGCUCAACUCCAGAACUGCCUUUGAUACUGAGGAUCUUGAGUACGGGAGAGGUGAAUGGAACUGCGAGUGUAGAGGUGAAAUUCGUAGAUAUUCGCAAGAACACCAGUGGCGAAGGCGGCUCACUGGCCCGUAACUGACGCUGAGGCACGAAAGCGUGGGGAGCAAACAGG